GUAAGGCUUUUGCGGUUUGGGAUGGGCCUGCGUCCUAUCAGGUAGUUGGUGAGGUAAGUGCUCACCAAGCCUAUGACGGGUAGCUGGUCUGAGAGGAUGGUCAGCCAUACUGGGACUGCUACACGGUCCAAACUCCUACGGGAGGCAGCAACUAGGAAUUGUGCGCAAUGGACGAAAGUCUGACGCCGCGACAUCGCGUGGAGGAUGAAGGUCUUCGGAUUGUAAACUCCUUUUCUUACCGAACAAGUUCUGAGUGUAGGUAAGGAAUAAGUGCCUGCUAACCACGUGCCAGAAGCAUCGGUAAUACGUGGGGCACGAGCGUUAUCCGGAUUUACUGGGCGUAAAGAGAAGCGUAGGCGGCUCGAUAAGUUUGGUGUUGAAUCUUCCGGCUCAACCGGAAACAAGCACCGAAAACUAUCGAGAUUGAGUCGAGUAGGGAAGAGGGGAAUUCCUGGUGGAGCGGUUAAAUGCGUAGAUAUCAGGGGGAAUACCAAUGGCGAAGGCACCUCUUUGGACUCGUACUGACGCUGAGGCUCGAAAGCGUGGGUAGCACAGCGGAUUAGAUACCCGUGUAUUCCACGCCGUAAACGAUCCCUGUUAGAUGUAUGUUUUGUCUGUUCAUUUUUCCUUCGGGAACGGUAGCGGGCACGAUGUGUGUCGUAAGUUAACGCGUUAAACAGGGCGCCUGGGAAGUACGGCCGCAAUGCUAAAACCCAAAGGAAUUGACGGGGACCCGCACAAGCAGUGGAGCGCCUGGUUUAAUUCGAUGGUCAGCGAAGAACCUCACCUAGGCUUGAACUGUAGCUGCACACUCCCAGAAACGGGAGAAUCCUUCGAGGGUGCUACAGAGGUGCUGCAUGGCUGUCGUCAGCUCGUGUCGUGAGAUGUAGGGUUAAGUCCCACAACGAGCGCAACCCCUAUUCAGUGUUAUAAUUACUCUGAAGACUGCCCUGUCCAAACGGGGAGGAAGGAGGGGACGACGUCCAGUCAUCAUGUCCCUUAUGUCUAGGGCUACACAGACGCUACAAUGGCCGGUACAAUGGGUUGCCAAACCGCGAGGUGGAGCCGAUCCCAUCAAAGCCGGUCCCAGUUCGGAUUGCAGUCUGCAACUCGACUGCAUGAAGUUGGAAUUG
rnacentral:rRNA from 1 species